rnacentral:rRNA from 1 species
GAUGAACGCUGGCGGCGUGCCUAAUACAUGCAAGUCGAGCGAACAGACGAGGAGCUUGCUCCUCUGACGUUAGCGGCGGACGGGUGAGUAACACGUGGAUAACCUACCUAUAAGACUGGGAUAACUUCGGGAAACCGGAGCUAAUACCGGAUAAUAUAUUGAACCGCAUGGUUCAAUAGUGAAAGACGGUUUUGCUGUCCCUUAUAGAUGGAUCCGCGCCGCAUUAGCUAGUUGGUAAGGUAACGGCUUACCAAGGCAACGAUGCGUAGCCGACCUGAGAGGGUGAUCGGCCACACUGGAACUGAGACACGGUCCAGACUCCUACGGGAGGCAGCAGUAGGGAAUCUUCCGCGAUGGGCGAAAGCCUGACGGAGCAACGCCGCGUGAGUGAUGAAGGUCUUCGGAUCGUAAAACUCUGUUAUUAGGGAGGAACAAAUGUGUAAGUAACUAGGCACGUCUUGACGGUACCUAGUCAGAAAGCCACGGCUAACUACGUG